rnacentral:pre_miRNA from 1 species
GAGUUACUCCCUCCGUUCCGAAUUACUUGUCGCACAUAUGGAUGUAUCUAGAUGUAUUUUAGUUCUAGAUACAUCCAUUUCAGCGACGAGUAAUUUGGAACGAAGGGAGUACUAU